GGGAGAACAGAUCCUGGUGCCUUAAACUCCCAUGACAGGCCAGCACUGCGUGGACUUCCUCACUUAAAUGUUUUGCUCUAACCCUGCACCAAGUACCCAAACCUCCUUCUGACAUGUCAGAACAUGUCUCCUGUUUCCCCCUAACCAUCUCUGCUGGAACCAAACUGAGAGCAGCCAUCAAGGUCAGCUGGUGAGUGCUGCUUCUUGGAUCUCUGGACGAGUGGAUGUCUUCACUGUGAUGACUCGAGGAGCCUUACGAGAGCUGAUGAUUCUUUGGGAGUUUUUCUGUGGGGAGGACUGAGCGAGUCUUUGUUUUUGGCUGUUUCUGCCUUGUGUUUUCACAGGUUCAUAGCUAUGCUGCAUUGGCUCCCUGUGACGCAGGGCUCUGAUCAAUACUGGGUCUCAGGGGCAGGGAGAAGGCUGCAAGAGGACCAGGCAGCUAAUAUGCUUCAUAGGUAGUGCAAUGUUGUGAUCAAGGGCUGGAGUCAGCAUUGUGGCUAAUGCUGCACAACCAACCCUGUGUUCUUUCCGUCUAACACGGUCCGUGCAUCCCUCGUCAUGUGAGGAAAGAGCACCGCCUGAGUUAUCAUCAGGUAAACAAGGAGAUGGUUUAUCAAAAGAUUCACUGACAAUGAAAAAUCAUCAGUCCUGUCCCACACAGAGGUCAGUAGGUAGUGACCAUCUGUGAGAGACACCGCACCAGAUUGAGGGGCGCCCCAUGUCGCAAUAACCCAGCUACAGUCCACAGAGACACAGGGGAUUACUUCUGUGAUCAUGUAGUCCUCUAUGAGCUAUGUAGAGUAUGCAGUAUGCAUGUUCAGGCAAUCAUACCGAGGUCAAAAGAGCUCCAGCAUACCAGAGAAAUUACAGGAUACCUGCGCUGAAACAUUCAAAUGAUUUGUGAAGGAAUAAAAACGAGCAAUCUGGUAACGCUCUGAGCAACACCUGCUUUUCUGGCUAAACAUAAGAGCAAGCUGCCGUUCUUCUGCCAGCUCUAUGCACACACACAUAUACACACACGCCUGAGGACACAGCAGCAGUAUUAUACACGCACAAACCCAUCCACACAGACAGUACAGGAUCAUUAAUCAUCAGCCAACCCAGUUCUGCUUCUGGCCCCACACUCCUCACAUGUGGCUCAGGCCCAAGGUUGACUUUGCAGUCUCUGUAUUUACCUCAGUGUGGUGCAGAGGUUGCAUGCCGUGAAGAUUAAAUCAAAAGGACAGAGGGCAGUGGUAGGGGGGUUGGGAGCAGUGUUGGACUCAGCGGGUACACAUACAUGUACAUAUGCUUCUGAUAAACCAUCAUCAAGAUCAAACAGGCUAAAAAAUGCCUCUAAUUCUAUCAAAGUACCAACAUGUAAUCUAUUUCUAAUGGAAAUCAAAUCAGCUGGAGACCUAACUCUGUUAAAAACCACUAAGAGAAUAACCAAGAGCUCUGCAUCAUGUCAGUCACACUGCUCCAGCCUCACUUUGUCUUCUGUGAGUAUUCAAAUAUAUUCUCUGAGUUUAGUCAUCCUCCUGUUUUCACUUUUUGUAAAAUAAAACAGGAUUAUUUUCUGAC